ensembl:lncRNA
GUGUCCAGCCUUUUUAUUGUGGUUUUCAUUACCUGGGCAUGGUUGAUUGAAUCAUUGACCUUCUGAAUGAACUUGUAUCCAGCCCCCCAAUCCUCUAAUCACAAGGCUGGUAUUUGGGGCCAGACUCAUCCUGGAAUUGCUUAGGGGUCCACCAUGAAUAACAAAGACACUCCUAUGACUCAGGAAAUUCCAGAGGGUUUAGAGGCUCCCUCCCUGGAACCAGGAAUAAAGACCAGACAAAUUCUUUAGUAUAUAGCAGCUAGCUGAAAGUAAAUCUAACAAAAGAAUACCUUGUACCUCUUCACAAACUCCCUCUACAAAGACACUGGAAUACCAUACAGCUGUGAAAAUGAAUGAACUACAGGUUCACAGAUUAACAGUGGUAUGAUCACCGUUUCAAAAACCAAAUUCACUAGCAGUGCUUUGUCAUAAACAAAGAUCACUAUUCUUCGGCAGAACCAUCUGCCAAGGGUAGGCAGGACCCACCCAGUGGGGUGAUGGAGAAUUGGGAGGAAGAAGGACUUUCUCUUUGGGACCCACUCCCACCUCCUGUGCCCCUUCCCUUCCACAGAACCCUACCUCCCUUAGCUCUCCAAAACCUUCCAGAGGCACUCCUGAGAGUGGAGAAUAAAAUCCUUGCAUAUUCUCUUCCAAGAGGCAAGGAAAUUGGCUUUUCUAGCUGUUCCUCUAAAAGUAAAACCAAGAGGUUUGGGCCCUUGAUGAAGGAAUUUAAGGGAAUGAGAUGGUGAAGGAACGUUUUUAAAUGGCCAGUAAUCAGACAGACCAUUUCCAGUGGCUACAAACCCUACCAGCUUAUUUGCAUGAGGAGGGAAAGAAACGUCCUUCAAAACCCACGAGCUCCCCCUGUAGUCAUUCCCUACAGCCACAUUCCUCCUUUGGCCUCUUCACACACUCACCAAGCGACCAGCUCUCCAGACGUUUGCCUCAGCCAGUGAGAAAAUGGGCCCUGCCAUGGUUUACUUCAAGGAAGUUUCCUAGAAUGUGUACCUGCUUUUCCUUUCUUGAAAAUCCUGCUGAGAUGCCCUCCUGUCCUCCUUGGCUACUGACCCCUUCUUUGACCUGUUUUAUUCCUGGUGGGGUCAAAUUUAUUGUGGAGCUCAUGACUCAACUCAAACUUCUUACUUGCCGACCCCUCCCUGACCAAGGCCCUGGGAGGGGCCCUAACGAUGUGGUCCAUGGUCGUCUACUUUUGUAAUUUUUGCAAAGUAAGAUACUUUGGCAGCAAUUUGUUAGGAAGUGGUCUAUUUCCAGUCUGACUUGCCUCCCUGACACUUUCUCUUGUGUUGGAUGGUGCUGGUUUGACCAGGCUUUGGAUUAAGGGUAGGUAGGGAUGCAUUCAGUUUGGGAUUAAUAGGAUAUAUUCAUAUGGUUUGUAGCUACUUCUAUGUAGAGUUAAGUUAGUAUCAGCAUCUUGGUAUAGGAAUAACUUCUAGGAAUCCCUCUGCAGCCCAACAAAUCAACUCACAGAAUGUCAUAAUAAAGAGCAGGGCCCACCCUACAACUCACAGUACAUGACAACAACUAGAACAUUAGGGACAGCCUGGUUGAUAAGUAUCAUCGAUUCAAAGUAGAGACAUUCAGGCACCACAUAAGAAACUGGAAAUGCCCCCCAAAUCUUACAGCUCAUAAACAAAAGAAUACCGAAUAAGGUUUUUCCAAAAUGCGACAACAAUCCUGAAAAUUUGUAUGACAUUACUGAUAACUAGUUUUGAUGGUGAAAGAAACUUGUAGAAUAUCAGCUGUACUAAAGGAUUGACCAUAUUAGGAGGAAAACCUGAGUUAUCUUUUCAAUUAUCUUUCAAGUACUGAAUUAGCUUUAAAUUCUCUCUGUAAAAAAAUUAUAUUACAGGAGUUCCCAUCAUGGCUCAGUGGAAACAAAUCUGACAUCCAUGAGUAUGCAGGUUUGACCCCUGGCCUUGCUCAGUGGGUCAAAGGAUCUGGCGUUGCUGUGAGCUGUGGCAUAGGUCACAGACAUGGCUCAGAUCCUGCAUUACUGUGGCUGUGGCAUAGGCUGGCGGCCACAGCUCCGAUUAGACCCCUAGCCUGGGAACCUCCAUAUGCCGCGGGAGCGGCCCAAGAAAUAGCAAAAAGACCAAAAAAAAAAAAAAAAAAAAAA